GACGAACCGUGCGAACGUUGUUCGGAAUCACUGGGCUUAAAGGGCGCGUAGGCGGGUGUGCAAGUCUGUGGUGAAAGCCUCCAGCUUAACUGGAGAAGUGCCGUGGAUACUGCACAUCUUGAGGAGGGUAGGGGCGUCUGGAACGGUCGGUGGAGCGGUGAAAUGCGUUGAUAUCGACCGGAACUCCGGUGGCGAAGGCGAGGCGCUGGACCCUUUCUGACGCUGAGGCGCGAAAGCCAGGGGAGCAAACGGG
rnacentral:rRNA from 1 species